rnacentral:rRNA from 1 species
GAUGAACGCUGACGGCGUGCCUAAUACAUGCAAGUCGAGCGAACGGACGAGAAGCUUGCUUCUCUGAUGUUAGCGGCGGACGGGUGAGUAACACGUGGAUAACCUACCUAUAAGACUGGGAUAACUUCGGGAAACCGGAGCUAAUACCGGAUAAUAUUUUGAACCGCAUGGUUCAAAAGUGAAAGACGGUCUUGCUGUCACUUAUAGAUGGAUCCGCGCUGCAUUAGCUAGUUGGUAAGGUAACGGCUUACCAAGGCAACGAUGCAUAGCCGACCUGAGAGGGUGAUCGGCCACACUGGAACUGAGACACGGUCCAGACUCCUACGGGAGGCAGCAGUAGGGAAUCUUCCGCAAUGGGCGAAAGCCUGACGGAGCAACGCCGCGUGAGUGAUGAAGGUCUUCGGAUCGUAAAACUCUGUUAUUAGGGAAGAACAUAUGUGUAAGUAACUGUGCACAUCUGGACGGUACCUAAUCAGAAAGCCACGGCUAACUACGU